UAGAAUGAGUAAUUUCAUAACUUAAAGCAACAGUAGUGGUGUUUAACAAGUAUAAUAAAUCUUAUUUAAUUUUUGUGUCUGUGUAAUGUGUAUGAUUUAAAUCUAACACUCAUUCACUUUAAUAUCCAUUAUAAUUACAGUAUUCUUACAGGAUCAUCUUCUAAAUCGAGAUUUCUUGGUUGGAUCAUCAUCGUCCCUCCCAUCCCAUGCACAAUUCCAGAAGAACAGCGACAUCCAAAAUAGAACAGCAAAGAAGAUUUGCAUCCUGUCUUGGACCUUUGAGAAAGUUGCUCCAAUAUCUGUUUCAUAAAAAUAAUGUAUCAACUCGUCAGUACAAAAAUUUAAAACCUGCACUUAUUUAAUCACUAAGGAGAGAAUUUUAUCAACUAAAUAGAAACAGGUGUAGAUUGAAAUGACCUACUAGCUACACAAAAGAGAAAAUUAAAACCCUCUAGCACAACAUUCACAGCCAAAGUACAAGAUGCCACUACAUGCAACAUCAUCAAAACAGAAUCUCCACCGUCAUCUUAAACCAAUAGAGUAAAAGGCCCUGGUUUAAUAGGAGAAGAUCCUGAAACCCUAGCACCUUCCCCCCAAAGUGCUUUGCAUCAAUCUCCAACCAACCAAGUAAAUAAAGAAAAUACCACAAUCCCUUUGUGGUUCCCUUUAGAAUGAAACACCCUUGAAGGCAAUGAAAGAAUAUCUAUUACUGAACCUAGUAAUUACGAAAAGGAUCAAAUAAUCCAACAG
rnacentral:lncRNA from 1 species